GGUGGAAGGGAGAGUCAGAGAUUCAAAGCAUGAGGAAUUCGGGCCACACGAGGAGUCUAGGCAGCCUGUAGGAACAGAGAGAAGCUCCCAGUGCCCAGCCAGCCAGGAAACAGGACCUCAGAGCCAUAGCCACAGGGAACUGGAUUCUGCCAGCAAAAGAGGUAGGUUCUUCCCGAGAUCCUCCAGGCAAGAUCCCAGCCCAGUGGACACCUUGAUUUCGGCCUUGUGGGACCCUGAGCAGAAAACCCAGCUGGAUGCAGCUGGAUCCAUGAAUGACAAGGAAGAUAAGAGCUGCCCCACAAAGCUGAACACCUGUUCAAGACUACUAGAUACUCAGCUCUGCUGUUGUGGUACAGAAGCAUGAUGAAUAUAUAAACAACCCUCACGCUAGAAAACUCGCAGAAAAAGGAGCAAGCGGACCGGCUUUUUUCAACUCCCCGCGGAAGUACUCUCACCGGAACUC
ensembl:lncRNA